UGGAAUGGAAUGGAAUGGAAUGGACUCGAAUGGAAUGGAAAGGAAUGGACUCAAAUGGAAUAGAAUUUAAUGGAAUUACAAACCACAGUGAUAUAACACACAUGCAUGAAGAUUUCUAACAUGCCAUCCUAAAUUAAGUCACUGUAUCAGUCAGAGUCCAAGUAUAGGAAACAGUCACUACCCAUGCAAACCUGAAGAGACCUUCAUACAAGGGAGCUGAGGCAGCCGCAGCCUGCAGCUCUGUCUUCUAGUCUUGCAGGCAUUCAUUUAGUUAGUGGAAGCAUAUCUCCUCCCAGAGCCCAGGCUGCAAGAGUCUGAAAUGGAGCUUUUAGCUUUCCAGCCUCUGUAUCAAAAGGGCACACCAGAAAGAGGCUAGAAUGAAUGGUUGGGCACUAACAAAUAUUUUCACAACCUAAGCCCAUACUCGCAGUUGUUUGCUGAACAGACAAUCAAUAAAUCAAACAGCCCUUCCAUGUAGAAAUUAAGAAGGAAACACAACACCAAAACUCAUUAUUAAAUAGCAUUUUGUAUUUGAAAACUCAUUAUUAAAUAGCAAAUAAAUUGCACUAAAAUACAAAAUUGUAGAAUUUGUAUUCUGGGAAGCCACAGUAACAAAUCCCUGUGACAGAACCCACGAAGUAGAGGUCUCCUGUGGGAAUGAUGACCGAGGCCCUCGCCGCUGCUCCACCUGCCCCUCCAGGGAUGCCCUGCUUUUCCAGUUGCCCCUACUCUGAUGUGCAUCAUGGCAGGAAAAAGUGGGCUGCUGCUUUCCUUUAAUGCUUUUUGUCCCACUUUAUUUUUUACUUUUGCCUAGUAUAUCUUUUCAUUCUUUUAUUUUCAACUUUUGUAAAUCUCUGUUUUAGGUGGGCUUCUUACGUACAACUUGGAGUUGGGUUUCACUUUUUGAUUCAAUCUGAAAUCUUUUACUUUUACCAACCUUCAGGUUAUGUGUAUAAAGUUAUGUGUUUACAUGUAUAGAUACAAUGUUUGGUCUUACUUUUAUGACAUGUUUUUGUAGCUUUUUGAAAAAGUUUGUGUUCUCUCUGUAGUUCUUCUGAAAUUUAGAAAUGUUUGCACUAUUUUGUACUAGGGGUUACUUUUGGAAUUUUAACUCUAUGUAAUUCCCUCUCCUUCGGAAUCCUCAUACAACACAUCUUAGCCUGUUAGUUUCCUGUUCCACACUGUGAUAAAACUGUCAUUCAUCUUGCUCCUUCUUCCUUCCAUCCCUCUCCUCUACAACUUGAUUUUAGUGAAUAACAUCUUACUGCCUCCCUGUGAUUAUAGGUGAGACAGUCAACAAACCUCUAACCACCGACCUUUUCUCCUCUGCCCUCCACUCACACUCUGCUCCAUCACCCUCAGCCACACAGCUGACGCUGUAGAGAUUCACUGACAUCCAGUCUGAUGGACACUGUUUCUCCAGCCGAAACUGCUCAUGAGAACAUGUGCAGUGAAGUGCUCCAGAGGCCCCAGCAUGCUACAUUACAGAAGACUGAACUCAGGAGAGAUGAGGAAUAAUCCCCUCCAUCACACCAGACACCAGGAGGGUGUGCCAAGGUGUGAGACAUACAGUCCUUACUCUUUUUUUGUUUUGUUUUGUUUUGUGAGACGGAGUUUCACUUUUGUCCCCCAGGCUGGAGUGCAAUGGCCCGAUCUCGGCUCACUGCAACCUCUGCUUCCUGGGUUCAAGCGAUUCUCCAGCCUCAGCUUCCCGAGCAGCUGGCAUUACAGGUGCAUGCCACCAUGCCCGGCUAAUUUUCUGUAUGCCUGGCUAAGUUCUGUAUUUUUAGUAGAGACAGGUUUCACCAUGUUGGCCGGGCUGGUCUCAAACUCCUGAUCUCAGGUGAUCCACCCACCUCGGCCUCCCAAAGUGCUGGGAUUAUAGGCGUGAGCCACUGCACCCAGCCCAGUCCUUACUUUUAAAUAAAUGGAGAAAUAUUUUAAAAAUUGUUUUAAUUUCUAAUGUGGCAAACAUUAAUAGAUAUAACUCACAUGACCAAAAUCUCUUUGGGGUCCUCAGUAAUUUUAAAAAGUGAAAAGGACCCCUGAGACAACAUUUGGGUUUGGAACUGCUGCUCCACUAGGGGAAGAGAUACCAGAACAGAGAAUAUGUGUUCCCUGGGAGAUAAGGCCUUCCCGACUACCUCCCCUCCUAUCAUCGAAAUAAGUUUUCUACAUUUCUUUAAUAUCAUGUUUUAAAAUUCCUUUUAAAAGACUGAAAUCAUCAGCAGAAGGCACGGGAUUAGCUUAGCACAGUCAGUUUAGACUAGUUACCCACAGGGGACUACAGAAUGGACAUCACGAGGCAUACAUAAGCAUAGAGGUGAGAAGGGCCGUGUUCACAGUUGACAAGAUUACAUUUCAGGUUAAACUGGUAACUAAGAUAACAGGGAAAAAGACAAUUAACAAAGAAACUGUAAUCGUCCAUAAGCCUAAUUAGCCAUAAAGCAAAGUCUGUUGGGAAUUUAAUGAACAUUUGUUAAAAACACAAAUAUUAUAGGAAGUUUUUUAUACAGUCAUGGGUCGCUUAACAAGGGGGAUACAAUCUGAUCCGAGAAAUGCAUUGCUAGGUAAUUUCCUCAUUGUGUGAACAUCACAGAGUGUAUUACACAACACCUACACAGCUAGGCUACAGACCUAUACAACAUAUUAAUGCACUGAACAGCAACUGUAACAUAAUGGCAACUAUCUGUGUAUCUAAAUAUAUCUAAACAUAGGAAACGUACAGUAAAAAAAGGAAACAAUCUUAUGUGGCCACUACACUACACGCGGUCGGUCAUUGACCAAAACAUCGUUAUGUAGUGCAUGACUGCAUAUCUCCUCAAAUCUGACAAUUCUAAACAAGUAAAGAUGUGGAAGAAUUAGAUAAACAGAAAGAAAGUACAUCCUUCAAAUAGAGAAUCUGUAUUUUUUUCACACAUCAAUAGAAUAUUUACAAAAAUCAAUUAUAAAGAAGGCCACAAAGGAAAACUUAAUCAUUUCAAAGAAUUAGAGAUCUUAAAGGCCAAACUCUCUGGUGGUAAUAUAAUAAAACUAGAAUUCAAUAAAGUUAAAUAAAAUCACAGCUAUUUGAAAUUCGAAGUCCACUUCUGAACACCCUUGGAUCUGGGAGCAAAUUGGCACUGCAUGUGUGCCUGGGCUCCUGAAGGGCCUCACAUACAUGGGGAAGGGCAGAGAAAGAGAAACAACAACAUCCACUACCUCUAUUUUUAAAGUCAGCCUUACUACAAAAUACAGAAAGUAUUCUUCACUGGGCAGACCAAAUCAACUUUGCUCAAUCUUCGCCUUUGGGUUCCUUUAGGUUUAUAAUGAACUGUAAGCAUUUACUGAGUGAUUAUUAUAAAGGCACCAUUUGAAGUACCUGAUGCCCUUUUAAUGCUGUAAUGCCCCUGUGAAGUAGGUCUUACUAUUAUCCCUGCUCUAGAGAUGAGAAAACUGAGGCAGGGAGAGAUGAAGAAGCUGGCCCCAAGGCCACACCACUGAGGAGGGAGGGGCCAGACCUGGAGAGCAGGGGGAUCCCACAAUCUGUGCUUGUGCCUUCCUGCUCUGCUGCUUCCCAGCUAGCGUGUGUGCUGGACACAGCCCUCAGUGAUCUCAACUUUGAUUAUCUAAUUUUAAAAAGACUUCUCAAGUUUAUUGUCUUUUACAAAAAAGGGAUGUAAUCUAGCAAGCCAAAGCAGAACCAAGCAGACUUUGUAGUUUUCAUCAAUUUUCUGGACGCUCCAGCCACUUUCCUCAGGUCCUUUAGCAAUGUGUGGACUGCCCGCCCACCGCUGCCCCGAGGUAGGGAAGCACCACACUACAACCUCAUGCAGGCUGGAUUAAAACAUGCCCUCCACUUCAGGCUUAGGAACCAGCGCCCCUCCUACAGCUCACAAGUUGCUCAAGCAGUGGUCUGUGAGAAGUGAUUCUAUUUUUGGGGUUGUCCCUUUUCUCUGCUUUUCUUGGGAACCAUUUUGACUCUGUCAAAUGUUCACUGACUUCUAGCACUGGCAGAAAGAACGUCUGCUUUUUUAUCUGAAACUGAACUGUUACACAACUUAUAAUUUUAUUUUGGUAAAAGCAUUCUUAGUUGCUGUGUUUAGUCAUACUCUACAAAUUAUCUUGUUGGUAGGAUAAAUAUGGUGAGAAUUAAAGAAAAAUGAAGAUGGUAGUGGACAUUUGCAGACUAUUAUCAAUACCGGCAUUUCAAACUUCCAAUAUAAUUCGGAUACUUGCCUGGAGGACAAACUUUUUUUGGCAUGCCGUAUAAUGAGGAGCCUUAUAUUCCCAGUGUGCUCAAACUGCCCUGACACCACCUAUCCACCGUCGUCAGCAAUCUAUGUUCAAUGUUUCUUAAAAACAUCAGUUACAAGGUCAAAUUUAAUUCAACUGAGGUCAGACUCUCAGGGGAGCUGAGGAGCACUUCCUUCAAUGGAAAUGGCCAUUUCUGAGUGGUGACAACACUGUCAUUUCUUGGACCUUCUUUAACAAAUCUGUUCUCAGGAGCAUUAACAUACUUUGCUAAUACAUUUUAAUCUGGCAUUUUUAUGGGGGUAAUUAUAGGAAAUGCCUGGAAUUAAAUAGCCUACAACCAAUUCUUGGAUCAACAACUAGGAAAACUGAAAAAUAUAUAUGUAAAUAUAUCUUUUUCUGUGUAAGAAAAGUCCUGCUAACUUAGGAAAUUAGAGGAUAUCUUUGUGUAGAAUCUUUUUAUAAAGUGGAAAUAGGCCAGGCAUGGUGGCUAACGCCUGCAAUCCCAGCACUUUGGGAGGCCGAGGCAGCCAGAUCACCUGAGGUCAGGAGUUCAAGACCAGCCUGACCCAUAUGGCAAAACCCCCUCUCUACUAAAAAUACAAAAAUUAGCCAGGUGUGGUGGCAGGUGCCUGAAAUCCCAGCUACUCGGGAAGCUGAGGCAGGAGAAUCACUUGAACCCGGGGGGCGGAGAUUGCAGUGGGCCAAGAUUACACCACUGCACUCCAGCCUGGGCGACAAAGCGACUCUGUCUCAGAAAAAUACAAAAUAAAAAAAUAAAGUGGAAAUAACUUCCUCUGCUUCUAACUAUGCAGUUUGCUUG